UACGUAGGGAGCGAGCGUUGUCCGGAUUCAUUGGGCGUAAAGAGCUCGUAGGCGGCUUGGCAAGUCGGGUGUGAAAACUCCAGGCUCAACCUGGAGACGCCACCCGAUACUGCUAUGGCUAGAGUCCGGUAGGGGACCACGGAAUUCCUGGUGUAGCGGUGAAAUGCGCAGAUAUCAGGAGGAACACCGGUGGCGAAGGCGGUGGUCUGGGCCGGAACUGACGCUGAGGAGCGAAAGCGUGGGGAGCGAACAGG
rnacentral:rRNA from 1 species